UUUAUGGAGAGUUUGAUCCUGGCUCAGGAUGAACGCUGGCGGCGUGCCUAAUACAUGCAAGUCGAGCGAACAGACAAGGAGCUUGCUCCUUUGACGUUAGCGGCGGACGGGUGAGUAACACGUGGGUAACCUACCUAUAAGACUGGGAUAACUUCGGGAAACCGGAGCUAAUACCGGAUAAUAUUUCGAACCGCAUGGUUCGAUAGUGAAAGAUGGUUUUGCUAUCACUUAUAGAUGGACCCGCGCCGUAUUAGCUAGUUGGUAAGGUAACGGCUUACCAAGGCGACGAUACGUAGCCGACCUGAGAGGGUGAUCGGCCACACUGGAACUGAGACACGGUCCAGACUCCUACGGGAGGCAGCAGUAGGGAAUCUUCCGCAAUGGGCGAAAGCCUGACGGAGCAACGCCGCGUGAGUGAUGAAGGUCUUCGGAUCGUAAAACUCUGUUAUUAGGGAAGAACAUACGUGUAAGUAACUAUGCACGUCUUGACGGUACCUAAUCAGAAAGCCACGGCUAACUACGUGCCAGCAGCCGCGGUAAUACGUAGGUGGCAAG
rnacentral:rRNA from 1 species